rnacentral:rRNA from 1 species
AUGAGUGCCAUGAAGUUUUGCCGUGAAUGCAACAACAUCUUGUAUCCCAAGGAGGACAGGGACCAGAAGGUGCUCCUCUUCGCCUGCAGGAACUGCGACCACCAGGAGGUUGCAGACAACAACUGUGUCUACCGGAACGUGGUGCACCACAGCGCUGGAGAGUUCACCCAGGUGCUCCAGGACGUCGCCGGCGACCCCACCCUUCCCCGCACCAAGGAAGUCCGGUGUGCCGUCUGUGGCCACGGCGAAGCUGUCUUCUUCCAGGCCACCGCGAGAGGUGAGGAGGGGAUGACGCUCUUCUUCGUCUGCUGCAACCCGAGCUGCGGUCAUCGGUGGAGAGAAUGA